rnacentral:rRNA from 1 species
UGCAAGUCGAGCGGUAAGGCCCUUUCGGGGGUACACGAGCGGCGAACGGGUGAGUAACACGUGGGUGACCUGCCUUCAGCUCUGGGAUAAGCCUGGGAAACUGGGUCUAAUACCGGAUAUGACUCCAUGAUGCAUGUUGUGGGGUGGAAAGCUUUUGCGGCUGGAGAUGGGCCCGCGGCCUAUCAGCUUGUUGGUGGGGUGAUGGCCUACCAAGGCGACGACGGGUAGCCGGCCUGAGAGGGCGACCGGCCACACUGGGACUGAGACACGGCCCAGACUCCUACGGGAGGCAGCAGUGGGGAAUCUUGCGCAAUGGGCGAAAGCCUGACGCAGCGACGCCGCGUGAGGGAUGACGGCCUUCGGGUUGUAAACCUCUUUCAGCCCUGACGAGGCAAAAGUGACGGUAGGGGCAGAAGAAGCACCGGCCAACUACGUGCCAGCAGCCGCGGUAAUACGGAGGGGGCCAGCGUUGCUCGGAAUUAUUGGGCGUAAAGGGCGCGUAGGCGGCCGCGUAAGUCUGAUGUGAAAUCCCGGGGCUCAACUCCGGGCUUGCAGUCGAUACGGGCAGGCUAGAGUUCGGCAGGGGAGACUGGAAUUCCUGGUGUAGCGGUGAAAUGCGCGGAUAUCAGGAGGAACACCGGUGGCGAAGGCGGGUCUCUGGGCCGAUACUGACGCUGAGGAGCGAAAGCGUGGGGAGCGAACAGGAUUAGAUACCCUGGUAGUCCACGCCGUAAACGUUGGGCGCUAGGUGUGGGAUCCCUUCCACGGGUUCCGUGCCGCAGCUAACGCAUUAAGCGCCCCGCCUGGGGAGUACGGCCGCAAGGCUAAACUCAAAUGAAUUGACGGGG